rnacentral:lncRNA from 1 species
CAUAAUAUAGAUUAUGAUUGUCUUGAGUAGGAUUAAAGAGAAUUCAAAUAAAUUCAUCCACCACCUAAUGCGAACAAAACCGAAGAAUAACAAAUGCUAAUUUUGAUUAAAAAUAAUAAUUACAUUGCUAUUUUGGAUAAAUAUGAAAAGUGGGUUGCUAUUUCAGCUUACUCCAAAAAAAAAAAAAAAACUUUUGUUCUAUGCAUUUUCUAUCAACAUAUACAUGGUCCAUUCACUAUACAACAACCCAAACUUUUUCUAGAGUUCCUACAAUUCUUCCAUUUAUUCAAGUAUUCCCGCCAUUUCUAUAGCAAAGAAUCUCAAUAACAAUCGGAUAGUGGUAAAGCACACAAAUUCUACUAUUGAACAUCUUUAUAUCACUAUGUAUCCCCGUCAAGUGAGAAGCCACUACAUAAAAUGAUAAAAGUUUCACAAAACAUAGAAACAUAAUCACCAUCAUUAAAGGGUAAAAAUGUCCAGACUCUAGAGUUACAUUGUGUUGCAGCCGAGCCUCCAUCAGAUGGUUUGAAAAGAACAUACACAGGGCUUUCAUUGAUAUCCAUCAAAUGUAACAACGUAAUCAUCAUUAUCAUGUUAAAGAACAAUAUAUUGAACAUAUUAAACAGAAACAAAUCUAAACUUCACCAUAAGCCAUUUUCACAAACCAAAGAUACUUUCAACCAGUUUGUGUUAUUAAAACUGCGAUUAAAUUCAUGGAAGGAAUAGUUCUCAAAAACCAACAAACUGCAUAUUUCAAUAAACAAAAGGGAACAACAGGUAUUAAGUGAAAUCAUGAGCUUUUUCAGUGGUAGCUUCUAACUUAUGUCCUGCUCUAAAAUAAAAAUUAAGUUAACGAACUGCACUGUUGAAACUUUUCAAAACAUACUUCAUCCAGCCUGGAUACUCGACAAUCAGGAAAUAGUACAGAAAGUUGGCUGAUAAAAACAAAUAUAUUAGUGCAUUUAAACUUAUUUCUGAAGUAUGGAAUUUGUUGUCUGAUUAGGCUAAAAGAUUGAUCUAUAACCAAAGGAGGACUUCCAUCAACAUCCCUUGGUGUAAACAAUUUUGCAAACCGUACAACUUCAAAACUACCAAAGUCCCACAUAACCACCACAAGUUUUGGCUAUUUUCCAUGCAAUAUGAAUAGCUAACAAUAUAUCACCUGUUAUUUAUAAGAAAUCGGCACACCAGGACCAACAGCAUCAGGAAUGGAUUCAAUCAAGCAAUAUCAUUAAGGGACAAACACCCCUACCCCUGGUCGUCAAUGUGGCAUAUAAAAUUAGGAAUGAGAACAGGCUAGAUAGCACUAAAGAGUUGACUGUAGUUGAAACUCGAAACAUGCGAAUGAAGAAAGCCCAAAAGGAGAUUCACAAGAAAUUAUACGAAUGGCUUUCAGAGGCGAAGAAAGAAGAUAAGAUACUUCAUCCAAAUACGCCACGCUUUUAUGCUUUGAUUCAAUGAACAAAAAGGAACAACAAUUAUUACCUUAAAUCCCGAGCUUUUUCCAAGUCAAGGAGGAUUGAUGUGCCAAGAGUUCCAAUUUAGUGAUUAUCAAUUCCUAUUUGAGAUUUGGGACAUACAAGAGGAUGAGAGGUAGUAAAUUAUGACUUUGGUGAGAUAAAAUUACAAUUUUGGUAAGGGAUGAGAGGUGACAGAGACAAAAUGGGGCCGGACCAAAA